UGGGGAAUCUUGCGCAAUGCGCGAAAGCGUGACGCAGCAACGCCGCGUGAGGGAAGACGGCCUUCGGGUUGUAAACCUCUUUCAGUGGGGACGAAGCUUCGCCGGUGAAUAGCCGGCUGGAGUGACGGUACCUUCAGAAGAAGCCCCGGCUAACUACGUGCCAGCAGCCGCGGUAAUACGUAGGGUGCAAGCGUUGUCCGGAAUCAUUGGGCGUAAAGCGCGUGUAGGCGGCUCGGUAAGUCCGCUCUGAAAGUCCGGGGCUCAACCCCGGGAGGCGGGUGGAUACUGUCGAGCUCGAGUCCGGAAGAGGCGAGUGGAAUUCCUGGUGUAGCGGUGAAAUGCGCAGAUAUCAGGAGGAACACCGAUGGCGAAGGCGGCGACCUGGGUCGAUACUGACGCUGAGGUGCGAAAGCGUGGGGAGCAAACAG
rnacentral:rRNA from 1 species